AUUAUCCUUUUAAUCACCACUAUAUCACGGAUUACUUUCCACAAUAAUUAGUUAAUGCAACAAAACACACCUUUCAGCUUUUCAUGUCUUUUGAAGCGGGGUUUUUGGAGACCUGGAAUGGAAGUUUUUCUGUCUCUAAAGCACACAAAAAGGUUUGGACUUUCUUCAUAGUGCAUAUUUGAGGUUUAUUUUUUCCAAGGAAAUAAUUAACACAGUUCACCGGGCUACAUACUGAAUUCGAAGGAUACAAGCAAAGUAUCGAUCCAAUCCUGUUAGUAUCGAUCCGAUACCAAUACUAGUGUUGGUAUCGACACUAUCGAUAUUUGGAUCGAUCCAUUCCGCCCACCUCUACCAGCGGGGGGCCUCUUCUCAAGAUGGCGGCCUGUCCUUGGUGGAAGAAGGAGUGCGAUACAUUUUUAUGACAACCGGGGUUUAAAGAAGAAACCGAGGUCAAAAAGUAGACUAAAAGGAAUUGUUCCACUAUGGUAAUUUGCGGAACCUCCAAGAAAAUCUAUGAAAAGAAAAGGACCGUCAAAGUCAAGAAUAAUAACGCUAAUUGGCUAGCUAACUAGCCGCUAACUAGCCACCAGUCAUACAUGCAGGGGGGCAGGGACGCCAUGGCUCCUCACCAGCUGGCUGUCAGCCUCCAGUCGGCGCCCUCCAUGAUCUCCCAGAAAGUGCAGUUAACUUACCAGCUGUUCUUGCUGGAAAAUGCCCGGAAUAAACUUGAACAAGACCUUCGCAACUUCACCAUCAAGGCCUAUAAAGAUGUCCAAGGUUACCUGAAUUCAUCUUGUCCCAGGAGCUUGUUCAGUGAUCUCUCAAAAGCUUUAGAUGUGAAAUGUCAAACAGUCGCAAAGGUUUCAGCUUUAUUAAAGGACCUCACAGCUGACCCGCAGGUUUGUCUCCUUCCUAAAGUUAAAAAUGGAGUCAGCGGAAAUCGGAUGCAGCAGCUUGGCGUCAAAGAGAUUCAGAUUACAGAUGUUUUUAAGUUUGGGCCCAUGUUAAAGAACUCACUGAUGGCGAGCUCAAUAGCAAAAGCAAUCCAGGUACUGGGAGCCACGGUGUCUCUUCAGCAGCUACAACGCUUCCUCACCUCAAAGCCUGCAGCAGACUAUCAGGACGACAUGAUAUGCAGGCGUUCUUCGAGCCUCACCAGCACUGUUUUGGCUUCCAGUUGUGAUUUUAAGGUUGAAGAAAAGCAGGUUGAUUUUGAGGAGAAGAGCCAAGCGGAUGCUGGGAUUUUUCCACCUGUCACUGAUGAGAGCCAUGACAGAAGGGCAGAGAGGCCUCAAAUACUUUUACCUCCCUUAAAAGCUGUUUUCCCCGAGCUCAGUAACCCAAAACCCAUGAACACCACACCACUAUUACACUGGAGAUGUGAAGAUGAUGUCAAGGUGCAAUACCAAAAACAAACAUCCUCCCAGCUGCUGCACUUCCUCAGAGCAAAAGUUAAAAACAUGGGUUCACUGGAGGUCACGGACAUGGAGUGGGCUAAACGUCCAUACACUUCAGAUUUACAGCAGCCUGUGUCACCUACCAUUACAACACAAAGAGACCAGUUCAGUCACGUUGUCACCGAUCUGGUAGAAGUUCUUGCUCCAAAACCUUUGAAUGCAAAGUUUGAAACCCAAGACCCAGUCUUCAGAGUGAAAAAAGCAGAGUCAAGUGGCUCUCUCAUCUAUAGUUGCGUGAUUGCAACACAAACUGAACUCUGGGAUAUUGGAGACAUCUUCGCAGAGGUAGUGGAGAGGGGCUCUGAUCCUGGCCCCUUGGGAAGUGAAGACUGCCAAAAUAUAACUACUCUGCCAGAGAUCGUGGGUGUGAAUAUCCACUGGAAACCCAGAAGUCCCAAGUGCACAGACCCUGAACAUGAUAACGGUUCUGAUGGUGCGAAAAUGGCAACAACCAGCAGUUUAAAGAUUCCCGAUUUCCAGAUUCGAAGAUUUGAAGAGACUGAGGUUGUGGUGUCUCACACUGUGAGUCCGAGCAACUUCUACAUCCAGCAGGCAGACUCCCAUGAGAAGCUACAGGCCUUUGCCACAGACUGGAAAGCCAGUAAUUCAUAUGCUGAGCAGAACUGCAUUCCAGAUAUUGGAACCGUAGUAAUGGGUUGGUUCGCCGAGCGAGAACAAUGGUGCAGGAGCCAGGUGAUAAAGAUAUGUGGAGUGAGCAGAGAUGGUGCUGGGACAGAGACAUCCAUCAAGGUGGAAGUGAAAAGGUUGGACUAUGGUGACACUGCCUGUCUGUCACUGUCAAAUAUAAAGGAGCUGACCCCUGAAAUGGCUACUGUACCACUUCAGGCUGUGCAGGUUUCACUGGCUAAUGUGAUGCCUGUGAAUGGGAGAGAUUGGUCUGAAGAGGCAGUCGGCUGGUUCAAAGCGACUGUGCACAACAGGACCCUCUAUGCUAGGCUGUACCAACAGGAAGGCAAAGUUACAGUCGAGCUGUUCAUGGAGAAGGGAAAGCUCGGAGCCAUGAGGAGGGGUGCUUCAAUGUCUUUGAGACUGGCCCAAAAUGGACACGCCAUCCACAGCAAACUUAAGAAGACUAGUCUCAUUAAAAGAAACAGUGUUCAGCUUAAAGCCCAGAAACAGGACUCUGACUGGGAGAAGUAUCUCAUAUCAUGCUACACUCAAAGGAAGUAGUUCAGGUGUGUGUGUGUGUGUGCGUGUGUGCGUGCGUGUGUGUGUGUGUGCGUGCAUGUGUGUGUGUGUGUGUGUGAGAGAUUAUGUUGGUAUCCUUUUAUCCUAUUUGAAUGAUUGCACAACCAGUACUAAAGUUAAAAUGCAAGCUUACUGUACCAUGCAGCUCGAACAUAUAGUGUAUACCAACAUUGUUUAUAGUGUAAAACCUAAACGAGUAAAAUGUUUGAAUGAGGAACAAAAAUAUUCCGUUUAGACUGACCAUCUGUGUGCAACAUACAGUGGACUGAGUUGUCGCCAACUUGAAAGGCUAUACAAAGUUGAAAGGUAUUUGGGGAAAAAAUUAAAUGUAGAUUUAUAAAGGAUUGACUGGACUAGUACACAUUAAGUCGUGUGUGUGUGUGUGUGUGUAUAUAUAAGCUAUUUUGUGUAUUUUUAGUUCAUACAGUUAGAGCUGGAAAACUGUUUCAACUAAGCAUACAUUUAUGUUCUCUCUAAGAUGACUAAACGGGAAAUUUCUUUCAUCUUUUGUAUCUCAAGCUUUUCUUCUUUAUGUAAAGGGAAAGGAUACAAAACUAGUUUUGCUUGUUUUAUUUUGACUAUGUAAUUUGAAGAUAUUGGUUAACCUGUUCCCUUUCCUAGGUUUAAAAACAGAACUGUAUUUCAAGUCCUGAUUAUUUUUAGCCACUAGACGGUGCCAGCUCAGUCUGAUUACCCGCUCUCUAUUAAGUUGUAUUCCUAUCUAUAUUAUUACCUUAUCUGCAUGCUACAACAGGUCUUUUUUGGUUUUGUUUUUUAAAUGUAUAAUUUUUCUUUGAUAAUCAUCACUGAAAAGCUUUACUGACUUGAUUAUAUUGUUCUUAUGCAAUGGCAAACUUAUCUUUAUUUUUGCAUAUUUGCCUUUGAAAUAAAAAUGUGUUCUCUACAAUUGUACAUUUGUGUUUCUUCCUUGUGUAGAGAAAAUGUAAAUGAGGUGCAGUUCAUUCAGAUUAUUAGCAGGCCACCCAAACCCUCCCACUACACUGUCAGAAGUGACGGUACGGCC
ensembl:lncRNA